UACGUAGGUGGCAAGCGUUGUCCGGAUUUACUGGGCGUAAAGGGCGUGCAGGCGGUCUGUUAAGUCAGGUGUGAAAUCCCCCGGCUCAACCGGGGAACUGCACCUGAUACUGUUGGGCUUGAGUGCAGGAGGGGAGAGCGGAAUUCCUGGUGGAGCGGUGAAAUGCGUAGAUAUCAGGAGGAACGCCGGCGGCGAAAGCGGCUCUCUGGCCUGUUACUGACGCUGAGGCGCGAAAGCUAGGGGAGCAAACGGG
rnacentral:rRNA from 1 species